CAGAGUUGCAAAUCAAUGUGUUGGUCAGUGGAUGUGGAGUGAGAGCAAAUAGUCUUACACUUUUUUUUGGUUUUUUAGAGAAAACCUUUUUUUUAGAAAAGCGGCUGUACAGUAGCACAGGCCUUGUUAGAAAUUGUGGCCUAAAGAACGUCCUAAUUUUGGGCCCUGAAGGCCCAUAACUGAAGCACACAGUCAGAACCAAACAAACGGAGCCUGGCAGACCCGUCUGAUCGCUGACCGCCGGCCACUCUCCGCUCCCGCCGCCGCCGCCGCCGCCAUGGGGAACUUCCGUAAGCUCGGCCGCCACGCCGCCCACCGCGUCUCGAUGCUCAGGACGAUGGUGUCGCAGCUGGUGAAGCACGAGCGGAUCGAGACCACCGUCGCCAAGGCGAAGGAGGUGCGGCGGAAGGCGGAUCAGAUGGUGCAGCUCGGCAAAGAUGGUACACUAGAUGCAGCAAGACGUGCCUCGGCAUUUGUUCGAGGUGAUGACGUCGUUCACAAGUUAUUCACAGAGCUUGCGUACCGUUACAAGGAUCGAGCUGGUGGGUAUACAAGACUAUUGCGAACCAGGAUACGAAUUGGCGAUGCUGCACCAAUGGCUUACAUCGAGUUUGUCGACCGGGAGAAUGAACUUCGAGAGGCCAAACCUGCGACUCCACCGCCUCCCCAGCGUGCCCCUCUUGAUCCAUGGACCAAGUCCCAUGCCAGCCAACAGUGGGCAGGGCCUAAAGUCAGCCAGAAGUCCAAAACAGAAGGGCUAUGAGAACCAAAAGCAUCGUUUAUCUUUAUUUUAUGUUUGUGAGAUUUUUUUUAUCUUUAGACGCGCUAAUUAGGAGAUCCAUUCUGUAAGAGACUAUGUUUCCACAUGAUAUCUAUAUUAUUUGUCAAGGAUCAUUGUGACUAGAAAUGGUUGCUGAUGUGCUAAGAGUUCAUGCUUACCGAUCAUUAACG